GACGAACGCUGGCGGCGUGCCUAAUACAUGCAAGUCGAACGCAGUGGGGACGGGUGAGUAACACGUGGGUAACCUCCCAUCAGAGGGGAUAACACUUGGAAACAGGUGCUAAACCGAUACUGAUGGAUGGACCCGCGGUGCUUUAGCUAGUUGGGGAGGUAACGGCUCACCAAGGCCACGGUGCAUAGCCGACCUGAGCAGGUGAUCGGCCAAACUGGGACUGGGGAAAGGCCCAGAAUCCUACGGGAGGGAGCAGUAGGGAAUCUUUGGACAUGGGCGCAAAUCUGGCCGAGCAACGCCGCGUGAGUGAAGAAAGUUUUCGGAUCGUAAAACUCUGUUGUUAGAGAAGCGGUAUCUAACCAGAAAGCCACGGCUAACUACGUGCCAGCAGGCGCGGUAAUAC
rnacentral:rRNA from 1 species